CCCAAGGCUGCAGCUGUUGCUUCCCUAAAACUGAGAAGUGAAACUUGGCCGUGUGGGGCCGGAGGGGUGGCGUGGGAGAAGCUGCCAUUGCUCUUGCUCUUGCUCUGACAUUGUCACAAGGAAGUGGCCACCUCCCGUCUGCUUUUCCUGCCUGCUCAAUUUUUGCUCUAUCAGUGGGCCUCUCUACCAGGGGGAAUCGCCAGCAGCCCUGGGGAAGGAAAGAUGUGGAGGAAACUUGCUUUUCAGGAGGUAAGACGCCCAUGCUUGCUGUUUGACACUGGAGGACUUAGUGGGGGGAGAGUGUCACCCUUCUUUGGGCUGAAAUAGGUUUCAAAUGCAUAACAAGGCACUCAAAGGGCACAGGCGGGUUUAAAACACCGAGCCCCGGAAGAAUGAUAUACAGCAUGCGUAGGAACGACAGUUUGUGGCUUUCCUGCUAGGCGCCUAGGAGGAAACAAGUGAUCUCUCGGACAGUCGCUGUUAGACACGCCGAGGCGCUGAGACGCUAUAACUCUCGCAGGGCGGGUCUAAAAAUAUGCAGCGGCCAUAUUCAGUUUCCCCUGCAGAAUCACAGAAAAACGAGACCUCUUGUGUUUCAUGGGGUCCCUGCUUCCAGGGGACGACUGAGAUGCUUAAAACAAAGCACCCGCUAACGUGCUUUGCCGGCCUGGCGCCUGCGUGAGGCAGAGAGGCGCACAGUGACUGACACAGAGCGCUGGAGGAAUGGGGGAUAAAAACUAUUUCUUCAAAAUAACACAGCGACGAAGAUUGCCCUCUUUUAAACGUGUUUGAGGGCGUUCCUUGGCAUAGGACGUACAAAUGCGGACACGUGUAACGGAUCGAUUUCUUGCCAUCCCACUCGCGGUGCCGUCUGGAUUGUUUGAAAGGCUUUUUUUUCACUGGGGGGCCCUGCAGGAAUUUUGCGGAAUGUCCAGUGUCCGGAUUGAUACGCUUUGCGCAGGAGGAGGCAGGGUCAAGGGGCGGGCCUGCUUAGGGCAUGUGGGCGCGAGACUCAGAAUUCAUCAUGGCGGGACACAGCUCGGCUGCCACGAGGUGUAAAAACCAAACCCAUCCCUUUGCCUUUGCAAGCAUCGCCUUUAAAGUCGUCGUCUUACUCCGGCGCGCUGGGCAAGCGGUACCGGACACCCGCCCCAGCCAAUGUCAACAGGACAUCCCUCUGUCUGUGCCCGAGGGUGGCGACGCGCAACAGCCCCUUAACCUCACGGAGCGCUUUGCCCAGCUGUCCUGGUACGAUGCCUUGGCUGGGACAUGGGUGCCGAUAGCCAUCAUCCGUCCAGGGAAAUCAAACCCACUCAACAGCUCCUUCGCCGGGCGCAUCUCCAUGUCCAACAGAUGGCUCACCGUGACGAACGCCAGCAAAGCCAUUGCAGGGGUGUAUAAGAUUGAAUCUGAGAUGAACAAAAGCAAGUGUCUGGUUUUCAUCCAUCUGAUUGUAACAGGUAAGUGCCGUGGGUCACAAUUUCAGGGUAACUGCACCAUGGAUUUCCCCUUGGCCUCUGGAGGGCCCGGAUGUCAGGUUUCCAGCUUCCCAGCCGCCCCCUCUCACAGGUGGAGGCCUGCGUCUGUCUCCCUCCAUCCUGGGGGUUUGGGUUUGAACAUCACUGUGAGUUUCCCAGCACAUCUGAGCGUGGUCCAGCACCCGUAG
ensembl:lncRNA